GAUGAACGCUAGCUACAGGCUUAACACAUGCAAGUCGAGGGGAAACGAUAGAGAAAGCUUGCUUUUUCUAGGCGUCGACCGGCGCACGGGUGAGUAACGCGUAUCCAACCUGCCCAUCACUUGGGGAUAACCUUGCGAAAGUAAGACUAAUACCCAAUGAUAUCUCUAGAAGACAUCUGAAGGAGAUUAAAGAUUUAUCGGUGAUGGAUGGGGAUGCGUCUGAUUAGCUUGUUGGCGGGGUGACGGCCCACCAAGGCGACGAUCAGUAGGGGUUCUGAGAGGAAGGUCCCCCACAUUGGAACUGAGACACGGUCCAAACUCCUACGGGAGGCAGCAGUGAGGAAUAUUGGUCAAUGGGCGAGAGCCUGAACCAGCCAAGUAGCGUGCAGGAUGACGGCCCUAUGGGUUGUAAACUGCUUUUAUAAGGGAAUAAAGUGAGUCUCGUGAGGCUUUUUGCAUGUACCUUAUGAAUAAGGACCGGCUAAUUCCGUGCCAGCCGCCGCCGUAA
rnacentral:rRNA from 1 species